GCUACUCCAAAGUUAAGUAGCCUUCCUAUCUCUUGAGAUAUUUCUUCAAAGAACAUGACUGACUGCCUAACUUUACCCCUCUCUAACAGAUUGGCAAGCCACUGCAGCACCAUACGUGAUUACUAGAGAAAGAUACAUCCUGAAGAGGGAUAUUUAACAAGGCAUGGAAGGAAUGACUCAAUGAAUGCAUGCCACGCCUUUACCACACUGACAUGUCAGAGGGCACCAUAUCAGAUGACGAAAUAAGACUGAGGACACUGAAGAAAGCACGGCACUGUUUGGUGUUGGAUGUCAAUUCGGGGCUUUGCUAUUUCCAUGUCUGUAGUUCUCUGAGACUUCAGA